UACGGAGGGGGCUAGCGUUGUUCGGAAUUACUGGGCGUAAAGCGCGCGUAGGCGGACCUGCAAGUCGGGGGUGAAAGCCCGAGGCUCAACCUCGGAACUGCCUUCGAUACUGCGGGUCUCGAGUCCGGGAGAGGUGAGUGGAAUUCCUAGUGUAGAGGUGAAAUUCGUAGAUAUUAGGAAGAACACCAGUGGCGAAGGCGGCUUCCUGGUCUGCAACUGACGCUGUGGCGCGAAAGCUAGGGGAGCAAACGGG
rnacentral:rRNA from 1 species